rnacentral:rRNA from 1 species
UACGUAGGCAGCGAGCGUUGUUCGGAGUUACUGGGCGUAAAGAGUGCGUAGGCGGUUUUCUAAGUUUGGUGUGAAAUCUCCCGGCUUAACUGGGAGGGUGCGCCGAAAACUGGAAGGCUUGAGUAUGGGAGAGGUAAGCGGAAUUCCUGGUGUAGCGGUGAAAUGCGUAGAUAUCAGGAGGAACACCUGCGGUGUAGACGGCUUACUGGACCAUAACUGACGCUGAGGCACGAAAGCGCGGGUAGCAAACAGG